UAAAUUACAUAAAAUCCCCCUGUCAAAAUCCGAUUUUUCACUUUCCCUCGUGUCAUUUAAAAAUCUACACUUUGCCCCCUUGUAAAAUAAAAAAUGUUCACAGGGGAUACGGUGUGUAAAAUGACCAUUUUGCCCCUCACCAUUUUCGUUUCCUCCAUCACCUUCCUCAACCGCCGCCUCGUUCGGCCGCGAUUCACACCUCGAUCGGCCACGAUUUCUCUCCAUUUUCUUCUCCACCUGCUCCCCUUCUCCUCCUGCACCCUCGCCGCCCCUCGAUUUCAGCGAUAGUAGGGAGGAAAUCGAGGUGGGCGUUGAUGGAGAGGUAGGCAAAGGCAACGAGGGCGAAGGCGAGGCGGCGGAGGAGGGAGAAGGUGAUGUGGGUGAGGGCGAGGCAGUGGAGGAGGGCAAGGCGGCGAGGUGGCGGCGAGGCGGCGAGUCGGAAGGAGGCGAAGCAACAGAGAAAAGGGCGGAGGGGUAUUUUCGGCAUAAAAAAAUAUUUUAUAACGGAACC
rnacentral:lncRNA from 1 species